UGUACCGUAUGUUCCAUGGGGAGUGCUC
rnacentral:sRNA from 1 species